rnacentral:rRNA from 1 species
AUUGAACGCUGGCGGCAGGCUUAACCCAUGCCAGUCGAGCGAGCGGCGGACGGGUGAGCAAUGUCUGGGUAACUGCCUACUGGAGGGGGAUAAAUCCUGGAAACGGUAUCUGAUACCGCAUUCUCUCAGAUGUGCCUCGAUGGGUUUAGCUAGUAGGUGGUGUAAUGGCUCACCUAGGCGACGAUCCCUAGCUGGUCUGAGAGGAUGACCAGCCACACUGGAACUGAUACACGGUCCAGAGUCCUACGGGAGGCAGCAGUGGGGAAUAUUGCACAAUGGGCGCAAGCCUGAUGCAGCCAUGCCGCGUGUGUGAAGAAGGCCUUCGGGUUGUAAAGCACUUUCAGCGAGGAGGCGUUACUCGCAGAAGAAGCACCGGCUAACUCCGUGCCAGCCGCCGCGGUAAUAC